rnacentral:rRNA from 1 species
GACGAACGCUGGCGGCGCGCCUAACACAUGCAAGUCGAACGGAGCAGAGAGAAGUUUGCUCUUCUUAGCUUAGUGGCGAACGGGUGAGUAACGCGUGAGUAACCUGCCCUGGAGUGGGGGACAAAAGUUGGAAACGACUGCUAAUACCGCAUAAGCACACGAUCCAGCAUAUGUUUGAGAGAAAUGGAUUUAUUCGCUUCAGGAUGGACUCGCGUUGUAUUAGCUAGUUGGUGAGGUAACGGCCCACCAAGGCAACGAUUCAGAGCCGGACGGAGAGGGUGAGCGGCCACACUGGGACUGAGACACGGCCCAGACUCCUACGGGAGGCAGCAGUAGGGAAUCUUCGGCAAUGGACGGAAGUCUGACCGAGCAACGCCGCGUGAGUGAAGAAGGUUUUCGGAUCGUAAAGCGCUGUUGUAAGAGAAGAACGAGUGUGAGAGUGGAAAGUUCACACUGUGACGGUAUCUUACCAGAAAGGGACGGCUAACUACGUG